rnacentral:rRNA from 1 species
UGGGGAAUAUUGCACAAUGGGCGCAAGCCUGAUGCAGCCAUGCCGCGUGUAUGAAGAAGGCCUUCGGGUUGUAAAGUACUUUCAGCGGGGAGGAAGGGAGUAAAGUUAAUACCUUUGCUCAUUGACGUUACCCGCAGAAGAAGCACCGGCUAACUCCGUGCCAGCAGCCGCGGUAAUACGGAGGGUGCAAGCGUUAAUCGGAAUUACUGGGCGUAAAGCGCACGCAGGCGGUUUGUUAAGUCAGAUGUGAAAUCCCCGGGCUCAACCUGGGAACUGCAUCUGAUACUGGCAAGCUUGAGUCUCGUAGAGGGGGGUAGAAUUCCAGGUGUAGCGGUGAAAUGCGUAGAGAUCUGGAGGAAUACCGGUGGCGAAGGCGGCCCCCUGGACGAAGACUGACGCUCAGGUGCGAAAGCGUAGGGAGCAAACAGG